rnacentral:tRNA from 1 species
GCCCGUUGAGUCGAGCAGCGGACUCAUAAUCCGUCGGCCGUGGGUUCGAGUCCCAC